GGGCUGGCUUUAGCCCAGCGGUUCCUUCGAGUCUGGCUUCCUAACCGCCCGGGGCCACUGGCUUCCAUGGUCUAGUGGUUUGAGAUCCCUGGGCGCUCUCCAAUCCUUUA
ensembl:misc_RNA Vault Vault RNA